rnacentral:rRNA from 1 species
AGUCGAGCGCACCUUCGGGUGAGCGGCGGACGGGUUAGUAACGCGUGGGAACAUACCCUUUGGUACGGAAUAGCCUCUGGAAACGGAGAGUAAUACCGUAUGAGCCCUUCGGGGGAAAGAUUUAUCGCCAAAGGAUUGGCCCGCGUUAGAUUAGGUAGUUGGUGGGGUAAUGGCCUACCAAGCCUACGAUCUAUAGCUGGUUUUAGAGGAUGAUCAGCAACACUGGGACUGAGACACGGCCCAGACUCCUACGGGAGGCAGCAGUGGGGAAUCUUGGACAAUGGGGGCAACCCUGAUCCAGCCAUGCCGCGUGAGUGAUGAAGGCCUUAGGGUCGUAAAGCUCUUUCGCCUGUGAAGAUAAUGACGGUAGCAGGUAAAGAAACCCCGGCUAACUCCGUGCCAGCAGCCGCGGUAAUACGGAGGGGGUUAGCGUUGUUCGGAAUUACUGGGCGUAAAGCGCACGUAGGCGGACUGGAAAGUUGGGGGUGAAAUCCCAGGGCUCAACCCUGGAACUGCCUCCAAAACUAUCAGUCUAGAGUUCGAGAGAGGUGAGUGGAAUUCCGAGUGUAGAGGUGAAAUUCGUAGAUAUUCGGAGGAACACCAGUGGCGAAGGCGGCUCACUGGCUCGAUACUGACGCUGAGGUGCGAAAGUGUGGGGAGCAAACAGGAUUAGAUACCCUGGGUAGUCCACACCGUAAACGAUGAAUG